GAUGAACGCUAGCUACAGGCUUAACACAUGCAAGUCGAGGGGCAGCGGAUUGAAGCUUGCUUCAAUUGCCGGCGACCGGCGCACGGGUGAGUAACGCGUAUCCAACCUUCCGCUUACUCGGGGAGUAGCCUUUCGAAAGAAAGAAUUAAUACCCGAUCGGUAUCUUAAGCACGCAUGAGAUUAUGUAUUAAAGAUUUAUCGGUAAGCGAUGGGGAUGCGUUCCAUUAGGCAGUUGGCGGGGUAACGGCCCACCAAACCUACGAUGGAUAGGGGUUCUGAGAGGAAGGUCCCCCACAUUGGAACUGAGACACGGUCCAA
rnacentral:rRNA from 1 species